rnacentral:rRNA from 1 species
UACGAAGGGUGCAAGCGUUACUCGGAAUUACUGGGCGUAAAGCGUGCGUAGGUGGUGGUUUAAGUCUGCUGUGAAAGCCCUGGGCUCAACCUGGGAAUUGCAGUGGAUACUGGAUCACUAGAGUGUGGUAGAGGGAUGCGGAAUUUCUGGUGUAGCAGUGAAAUGCGUAGAGAUCAGAAGGAACAUCCGUGGCGAAGGCGGCAUCCUGGGCCAACACUGACACUGAGGCACGAAAGCGUGGGGAGCAAAACAGG